AUUUAUAUAGUUUAAUUAAAACAUUAUAUUUUCAUUGUAAAAAUGGACCUUGUCCUUUAAAUA
rnacentral:tRNA from 1 species